UACGUAGGUGGCAAGCGUUGUCCGGAUUUACUGGGCGUAAAGAGCGCGCAGGCGGUCGUUCAAGUCGGGUGUGAAAGCCCCCGGCUCAACUGGGGAGGGUCACUCGAUACUGAUCGACUCGAAGGCAGGAGAGGGUAGUGGAAUUCCCGGUGUAGUGGUGAAAUGCGUAGAUAUCGGGAGGAACACCAGUGGCGAAGGCGACUACCUGGCCUGUUCCUGACGCUGAGGCGCGAAAGCUAGGGGAGCAAACGGG
rnacentral:rRNA from 1 species